UUACCAUAGACAGUAGAAGAAAGCACGUUUCUCCAACUUCAGUCAUUACAAGGCAGGAUUAGCCGGGAGACUUCUUCUAAACGAGGGUGCACUUGCAACUUUGCGUGGAAUACCUGCAGACGAGGGACAUGUUAGUAGGUAUAUACAAUUUCUUU